CACACUCACAAAAAUAGAGCCAUAAAUGGGACUGGCUCCGAUCAUACUCGCUUUGGUGUAUUAAGGUCACACCUUCCCUCUUCAUGAUUCCUCUUGUAGAGCACAGGAAUAAAGCACAAAGAAAAAUCCUUAGUGGAAUGAGUACUUUAUCUUCAGUCCUGCUGGCGAUUUUGUUACCAUUUGCCUCUUACACAAGAAGGGUUACACCCCUUUAAUAUGUUAAAAGCUGUAAGGAAACCAAGUAUAUUUAAACCUCAUUCUGUAGUUUCCUCCCGAACCACCAGAGCUUUAGUGAUUAUAGCCCUCCGUUCGGUAGAUAGGGUAGACGAAUCCUAUAGCAAUUCCAAUAGCUUCACAAGAUGAUUCCCUUAGUGAAACACACGAAUCCCCAAACAUCAGCCGAAGUCAAGAAGAAGGGUACAAAAUGAACUAGCCUUUAAUGGGUGCACACAGCUUUUAUGCAAGUCCCCAUGCAAGGGGACAGCCCUCAGGGAGGGACAAACAUUAACCAAUCACAUACAGUAAAACUUCAACACACACCCACAGUUUCCUCCCCUAGCCCAGGAGAUAAUUCAGUCUGAUAAAAGAAUAACUUUAUCUCCGGGCUGAAAAAUCCCCUUUUCCCCCAAUAACUGGAACAGCCCUUUAUACUUGGGGUAUCCCCACAAUUCACAUGUCUCCUGAUAGCCCUGAUCUGGGUGACCAACAUAUCCGAAUUUCACCCAGAUCGGUUCAGGGGUUUGCAAAAACUAUGGAGGUCUCCUGUGACCGGCUCACACUGGUCUGCAUGCCCAAAACAGUUCCAUGAAUUUGGUGGGUUUUGCCAGUCACUUUAGAAAUAGCAGAAAAAUGAACAAAGUACCGAAUGGAUCCCUCUGGCUCCUAGCAGCGUUCGUGCCCCUCUGUCGAAUACACCAAAGUACCGAAUAGCGCUCUUCUGGCUAUUCGGUAAAUAGAGUUCCAGCGUUCGUCUGUUUGGGACCGGUGUUCGGGAAGUCGCGUGUCCGUUUUCAGUUCCAUGCACUCGACGACCAGGUCCCGCUGCCUUUGUUCGCAUGAACAAAGAUGGCCGCUGUUUUCUCUGCCACGUGGCGUUCGACUGUACGAAUGCUGGCCGCACAGACAAAGGUAGCAAUUUCACCAGACUUUGAUGUUUAAUGAGCCAGAGGGGUGGUCCUUGUUCGAUAGUUACAUCUACCGAAUGCAAUGGGCAGAAAUAGUGUAACAAAAAGGGAAUGCAAUGGGUAUACAUAAUACAACAAAAGGGAAUUUCUUCACAACAGCCUUUUAUCCCAGAGCCAGGUCCUAU